CCUACGGGAGGCAGCAGUGGGGAAUAUUGCACAAUGGGGGAAACCCUGAUGCAGCGACGCCGCGUGAGUGAAGAAGUAAUUCGUUAUGUAAAGCUCUAUCAGCAGGGAAGAAAAUGACGGUACUUGAGUCAGUAGCCCCUGCUAACUACGUGCCAGCAGCCGCGGUAAUACGGAGGGGGCAAGCGUUAUCCGGAUUUACUGGGUGUAAAGGGAGCGUAGACGGCAGGGCAAGUCUGGAGUGAAAGCCGGGGGCUCAACCAGCGGACUGCUCUGGAAACUGUACGGCUGGAGUGCAGGAGAGGUAAGUAGAAUUCCAGGUGUAGCGGUGAAAUGCGUAGAUAUUAGGAGGAACACCAGUGGCGAAGGCGGCUUACUGGACUGUAACUGACGUUGAGGCUCGAAAGCGUGGGGAGCAAACAGGAUUAGAUACCCGUGUAGUC
rnacentral:rRNA from 1 species